AUGGACAGAUCCAGUACGUCCCCAUCACUGCCGAGCAGCAGAUUGUUGGCUCUGAGGACCUGGAGGCAGCCGCCCAUUCCGCUGUCACUGCUGUUGCAGAUGCAGCCAUGGCUCAGGCUCAGACGGUUUACACAGAGGCCACACCUGAACAACUGGAGCAGCUGCAGCAGCAGGGCAUCCAGUAUGACGUCAUCACUUUUACUGAGGAGUAGAAACAAGAUGCAAACACACAGACAGAUUCACCUGAGGCUCGUCUCAGCUUCAGAUGGCUGCAGUGGAUACUAAGUAACAAAACUGUUUCACAGACUUAAUUUGUUCAGUAAGAGGGUGAAUGUACAGUUAGAUCCUCUCUGAAAAUUAUAUGACUUAUGCCUUUGUAAAUAUUUAAAGCAGUUUAUCUUUUUGUGCCUACAGUGUUUUGCCUUGUAAAGAAAAAGAAACACAAAAGCCAAGAGCAGCCUGUAUAGAGAAUCCAUGUAUUUAAUUCUACAUGUUGCUGUGAUGUACUACAAUGGAUGCUUACUUCAGUGACAGUGUGUAAACAGUAGACUGGAGGAAUGAGGUCCUGAAACAGUUCCUAGCCAUAGCUAAAGUGCUUAUAUAAAAGAGGGUUGAUUAUUUGUUUUACAUGAAAUGUGCCGUUUCAUCAUUAGCUUCUUAAGGUUUAGAGGUUUGCUUUUUUCUUUCAGAUGGCUACAGAAAGGAACUUAAAAUGCAUAUCAAAUAAAUCACAACCUCUUUAUCUGAACUGAUUGUUGGUUUUCUUAUAUUAGUCUUACUACCGGUUUUACAAAGCUGUUGCACAUAACACAAGGGAACAGAACAUAAUACAAUAUAUAGAUAAUAUAUAGAUAUUAAGAAGACGUCUUGCUGCCUUUUUCAACCUCUUACAAAUGAAUGCCAAGCCGUGUGAGGUUAAAAGAAGUUCAGAUGAACUCAUGAUAAAUAUUUCUGAUGCGUCAGAAGUACGAAUAUUGUUACCAUCAGUCUUAUAUGCUAUAUGUUUGUCAUGCUUAUUUGGAGAUGAUAUUCUUAUAAUUAUUAAAUAAUAAAUUGUAAAAUAAUUAUUAUAUUAUUCACUAUAAGUCUUGAAUCUCAGUUGCAUAAACACAACUCUACUACUACCGAAAUCCUCCAUCAAACCAGCAGUCUGGCCCUCUUCUCGCUCCACAGCCAAUGCAGAGAAAUUCAGGUGAAUUUUGUCACAUAGCUGAUAUAAGGCCUUAAAAUUCUAACUCUUAAAGAGACAUUUCACCCCAAAAUUCUGAAAUUUUCUGAAUAUCAUGUUGUUCUCUCAAAACGUUAUUGUAGGCAGUUAGUGCAUCUGACUCAUGAACACAUGGCUGACAUCUUAAAUCUCGUGUCCUAUGAAUAUGAUUCACUUUAUUUCACCUGUAGUGACAUAUAUUCUGCAGAACAACCCUGCAGAUGGACAGAUGGUGGAGUACCAGACACAAUGAAAUCACUGAGGUACAACUUGUGCUACAGUUUUACAAGAAUCACUAUAAACAGGAUCAAAUAAAUAAGUUUGAGACUCUUGUCAGAUGGGUUCAUGGUCAAAUUACAGUUUGACAGUCUUCAUCUUUUCUUCUGUCUUUCAUUGCCCAGGUCCAGUAUGUCAGCUCUCAGAAUGCAGUUCACCAUUUAAUCCCACAGCAACUUGUGAUGGAAUCUCAAGGAAACCACAUUCAGGUUAGCAUGUGUAGCUUUAUAAUAGUGUGUAGUAAAUUACAGAUUCAUCAAUAAAACAAAAUAAAUUCUGGGAACACUUUAUAAUAACUUUCAUUUGUAAAUCAUUAUUACACGGCUCUGUGGAAUACUUCUGAUUGGUCAAUCGUGCCAUCCAGCGGUAAAUUAUUCCCGGAUAACAACCGCAAAAAUUGAAUAACACACCGCUCAUCCGGGUACUACGAGUUAUCUUGACGGGUACUACUUAUAUGCUUAAGGAGUCACUCCGCUAUCAUUUACUGUCUGGCCAUCUUGUGACUGAAAACACUUAACCACAGCGUGUUACAAUGGAAGACUUCAUCAUUAAUUUCAACAUAUAUGUUAAAAACAAACCUUUUUAACCGUGUAAUAAGCGGGAUAAUGUACAUCCAGCCAGAUGUUAUCUCAGAUUAGCACUCACAUUAGUAUACUAGGCUACUCUUCAGUACAUCAUUAAACAGGAUAUUACUUGAAUCAUGAAUAAAGAGGGGAAAACAAGAGAAAAUAGUUAUUCAUUUAUAAAAACAAUAUAAUAUAAACAUAUUGACCUGUUGCAUUUGUAAGCAUUUUAACUUACAUGGAAUAAUACUUUGUUAAACAUUAUGUAAUGUUUAAUACAUUUAUUAGAAAACAUUAACAAGCACAUUAUCUCAUGUUUCUAACUCUUUGAAUAUAUAUUAACUAAUUAUCCAUUAAGCAUUAUGCAAGCCUUAUGCUUUGUAGUUUGGUGGAGUAACUGGACUGAGGGUACGAUGGAGAACUUCAAUUGGACUUUAGAGAUUCACUAUGAUGAGCAAACAUCUUUCACAGCUCUUCAAGCUCUAUUCAAGCCCAACAGGCAAUUUAAGGGUAGCAUUUGGGAAUGUAAAUAUUGCAUAUAACUUUGCACAGAUGUGGUAAGAUAA
rnacentral:lncRNA from 1 species